UACGGAGGAUCCAAGCGUUGUCCGGAUUUAUUGGGUUUAAAGGGUGCGUAGGCGGAUAAUUAAGUCAGUGGUGAAAUCUUGCGGCUCAACCGUAAAAUUGCCAUUGAAACUGAUUAUCUUGAGUACAGUUGAGGUGGGCGGAAUGUAUCAUGUAGCGGUGAAAUGCUUAGAUAUGAUACAGAACACCUAUUGCGAAAGCAGCUCACUAAACUGCAACUGACGCUGGAGGCACGAAAGCGUGGGGAUCAAACAGG
rnacentral:rRNA from 1 species